UUUGGUUUCUUGCUUCCUAAAAGCAAGUGGUGCGGAUGGGAUUAUCUCCCGCCAGGUUUCUUAUUUCCUGUAAAAGAAUAAGUGGCGUGCAUGUAA
rnacentral:ncRNA from 1 species